rnacentral:rRNA from 1 species
AGUGAACGCUGGCGGUAGGCCUAACACAUGCAAGUCGAACGGCAGCACAGUAAGAGCUUGCUCUUACGGGUGGCGAGUGGCGGACGGGUGAGGAAUACAUCGGAAUCUACUUUUUCGUGGGGGAUAACGUAGGGAAACUUACGCUAAUACCGCAUACGACCUACGGGUGAAAGUAGGGGAUCUUCGGACCUUGCGCGAUUGAAUGAGCCGAUGCCGGAUUAGCUAGUUGGCGGGGUAAAGGCCCACCAAGGCGACGAUCCGUAGCUGGUCUGAGAGGAUGAUCAGCCACACUGGAACUGAGACACGGUCCAGACUCCUACGGGAGGCAGCAGUGGGGAAUAUUGGACAAUGGGCGCAAGCCUGAUCCAGCCAUACCGCGUGGGUGAAGAAGGCCUUCGGGUUGUAAAGCCCUUUUGUUGGGAAAGAAAAGCAGCAGGUUAAUACCCCGCUGUUCUGACGGUACCCAAAGAAUAAGCACCGGCUAACUUCGUG